CUGGCUCAGAAUCAACGCUGGCGGCGUGCCUAACACAUGCAAGUCGAACAAGAAAGGGACUUCGGUCCUGAGUACAGUGGCGCACGGGUGAGUAACACGUGACUAACCUACCCUCGAGUGGGGAAUAACUUCGGGAAACCGAGGCUAAUACCGCAUAAUACCCACGGGUCAAAGGAGCAAUUCGCUUGAGGAGGGGGUCGCGGCCGAUUAGCUAGUUGGCGGGGUAAUGGCCCACCAAGGCAGUGAUCGGUAUCCGGCCUGAGAGGGCGCACGGACACACUGGAACUGAAACACGGUCCAGACUCCUACGGGAGGCAGCAGUGGGGAAUUUUGCGCAAUGGGGGAAACCCUGACGCAGCAACGCCGCGUGGAGGAUGAAGUCUCUUGGGACGUAAACUCCUUUCGAUCGGAACGAUUAUGACGGUACCGGAAGAAGAAGCCCCGGCUAACUUCGUGCCAGCAGCCGCGGUAAUACGAGGGGGGCGAGCGUUGUUCGGAAUUAUUGGGCGUAAAGGGUGCGUAGGCGGUUCGGUAAGUUUGAUGUGAAAUCUUCGGGCUCAACUCGAAGUCUGCAUCGAAAACUGCCGGGCUUGAGUGUGGGAGAGGUGAGUGGAAUUUCCGGUGUAGCGGUGAAAUGCGUAGAUAUCGGAAGGAACACCUGUGGCGAAAGCGGCUCACUGGACCACAACUGACGCUGAUGCACGAAAGCUAGGGGAGCAAACAGGAUUAGAUACCCUGGUAGUCCUAGCCCUAAACGAUGAUCGCUUGGUGUGGCGGGUACCCAAUCCCGUCGUGCCGUAGCUAACGCGUUAAGCGAUCCGCCUGGGGAGUACGGUCGCAAGGCUGAAACUCA
rnacentral:rRNA from 1 species